UUGGGAUUGGGAAUAAAGUUUUAAAAUUAUGUUUGGUAUGUAGGAAUAUUUUGAAAGAAUACCUUAUUUUAUUUUAUUUUUUACUUAAAUAUAAAUUAUAAAAAGACAAAGAUACCCUUUAAAAUAAUAAAAACAGAAAAUAAAAACCAAACGUGAUCAUCCCUUUGUCUUGUCAUUUCUUCUUCUCACCGAUGAACUUCUGCGACGGUGAACUCAAGGAGAUCUCUGGCUUCCAUUUUCGAUCAUCGAGCUCCAUAUUGUGAAGGGUUUCGUUCACGCCGUUCUAAUUUCUCUCAGCUCCAUCAACUCGUAAGCGCCUCUAAGCCGAAAAUCAAGAGCCAAGGAGAGUGUGUCAGAAUCUGGAUCUCCCGAGGAUUGAUCGGAUUAUCUGAUGCUCUCUUUGAUCUCAAGGACUGCCAAUAGCUGCCAUUGAGCCGGUGCCAGAGAGUUCUGUGUCGGACAUGGAGGAGCGAACCAUAAAAGAAAGAGAGAGAUGGUGGAAGAUGGGUUUGAAGGCUAUAUCAGAUGGGAAGUUGGCUGUGUUGCUUUUAUCGGGUGGCCAGAUUUGUCUUCCCCUUCAGAAGUUGGUGCUGUGAUUAGUGAACUUUACUUCUUUGAAAGGGGCAUUACUUAGGUGAUAAAGAUAGUAAUUCACAAUGCGAUUUCCCCUUUUUUUUGGGUACUUCCUGAAACAUUAUUUUGGCAUGAUGUUGCCUCUUUUUGUCACUGAUUUGAUUGAGGGCAAAAAGAAGAGCUCAAGUGAGCAUGAAGAUGAAAAUGUCAACAAGUGCAACUCCAAGAGGUGCCAUUUUAGCCAUUCCUUUUCAAGCUCCAUGAAGAACAUACAAUUUUACUCCAUUUUAGCCAUUUGACACCCUGAUUUCUGCAAAUAAACAUACAAGAUGGAAAUAAGGAAAUAAGGAGCGAACCUUCAAUUGCUUGGAAAAGAGAAGCGAACUGUGGUUGGAACUGCAGGAAAUAAGGAGUGAACCUUCAAUUGCUUGACGAGGCAUUCUGUUAUAGGAAAUGAAGCCUUCAACAGGUUCAUCAACUAUCCGUGUCAUAGUCAUCAUAGCAAGAGGGAAUGUUGGGAAAUUCAACAAGAGGGGCACUUGGGGACGAACAGAAACAUCCAAAAAAAUCCAUCAAGAAGCAAGCUUUUGUUCUGUUGCUAAAUUAAAUGAGGUGUAUGUAUAUAUAUAAUAUAGCAUUUAGAUUUAUUUAUGAAGUCUAUAGCUAUAUGGCUCCAAUCUAGUGGUUAUAUCUCUGAUUCUGUGGAAUUUGCAAGUGUUAUAUUACAAGUUUUUGUAAAUUUUGCAAGUGGUUAUAACAGCCAUGGAUCUUUAAAUGUAAGUCUGUACUUGAAGCUAUAGU